rnacentral:tRNA from 1 species
AGACAUUUAGUUUAGUGUAAAAUAAUCGAUUUCGGCUCGAAAAUCCACGGUUAGACCCCGUGAGUGUCUC